CGGUCGUUAUCGGUUCGAUCUUGUCGGACGCUCUUUGGCGUCUCGUCUCCGAUUCCCCGCCCCAUCCGGCAUCUGCUUUCGAGUAGCAAUGACUACGACGGCCGCGGUUUCGGUGGCUCUGCCCGAAGUGAAGCUCUUCGAUCGAUGGGGCUUUCAUGGUCUUGAGGGACCCAAGAGCCUCUGCUUGCCUUCUACAUGCUGCUAUUUUAUCAAUUGCACAUCCCCAUAAGGUCCUUUGGUUCUUCGUAUUCAUCCCCAGAGUAUAAGCAGUGAUCAUACAGGUCUUGUACAUAAAGAAGAUUCCUCCAAAAACCUCAGCAAAAAGGAACACCUCGCUGUCCAGAAAGGCACAACACAUCAGCCAUGGAAACAACACAACCAAACCAAUCCCUAAUACUGAAGGAGGUUCUGCACUAAUAAUUAGCUGAUGGAUUCAUAGUUUGUACUGAUCCCAUAGCUAUACUUCCCUCAUGAAACAACUACACCUGAACCACUAUAGAAGAUUGAGAGCCUGAUAUGGAUGCUGCAUGAUUCUGUCUCCUCGUUUGUGCAGGCUGCAAAGUAAAUGGAAGUCAUCAUCAGGAAAUGUGUUGACAGAAUGAAAUGAACGGAGGAAGAAGGGAACAAGUUCAACCAUAUUGGCAGAUGUGUUCUCGAAUGCUCUCUCGAUCUCUCCUACAAGAUCAUUAAUUGUAGGGCGUCCUUUGCUCGAACUGGCGACACAGAGAACGGCAAUAUUUAAGAUGGACUUGAAAACGUCCAAAUUAAGCUCUCCUUCAAGGCGCGGAUCUACAAAAUCUUCGAGUGGGCGUUUGCCUGCUGAGACAUCCUUGGCCUGCAUCAUGCACCAUAAUAGAAUUCAAACAUGAAGAUCUUGCUGAGACUUCUGGGGUAUUACUAUCAAUUUGGUGGCUACCUUUCUUGUCAGAGUUUCUCGUGCUUUUGUGUCCAGUUCAAUCACCUUACGCCCUGAUAGAAGCUGCAAUAUGACUACGCCGAAGCUGUAGAUGUCACUGGCACAGGAGAGGUUUCCAUGGGACAUGUACUCCGGAUCCAUGUAGCCAAUGGUUCCCCUAACCUCUGUGAAGCAUUUUGUUUCCUUCAUUCCCACCAUCCUCGCCAACCCAAAGUCCGAAAGCUUUGGCUCCAUGUUGUCCAUCAACAGGAUGUUUGCGAGCUGAAAACCAUGUAUCAUCAAUGAAAGACGAUGAACUGAUACAAAGUUAUGGGUCAACUUCUCACCUUGAUGUCUCUGUGAACGAUACAGCCAUCUGGGUGAGUGUGGAGAAACCUUAACGCAAGGGAACAGUCUCUUAGGAUCUUCACCCUCUUCCCCCAUGGAAGAAGAGCAUCACUUCCUACAGUAACCAAGGAGGGAGACCAGAUUGGGAUGACGAACUUUGGAGAGGCCUUCGACUUCUCUCGUGAAGGAGCCAUUCAUAGCAGUCUUGUAGAGGUGCUUGAUUGCAAUGAGCUGCCCGCUGGGAAGAAUGCCUUGGUAGACUUGGCCUGCACUUCCAGUGCCGAGGCGUAUUCUGCUGCUGCUGUAGUUUAUGGCUUUCUCGAUCUCUGCUUUGGAGAAUCUGUAAAGACCAGUCCAUUUGCUUGCUACUUUCCCUGGUGCAGUAGUAGUGCCUUGAAAACAUGUGUUAGUGUGAUUGCUUCUGUAAGCAUUGAGCUCAAAUGCACAGGGAGAAUACCUUUGUUGUGUUCAUGAGUCCUUUUCCUAGCCUUGAACAAAGUAAUGAGAAGAAACAAUCCGAUCAAACCCAGUAGUGUUCCGAGUAUCACUUCCACAACAUCUGCUACCUGAGAAGACAAGAAGAAAGUUCAUCAAUUAGAAGAACUUGAAAGAAUUGCAAGAAGUAAAAUGACAACAUGAGAUGAGAACGAUCUGCACUUUACCUGAAUCCAUUGCUGCCAAGCACCGGUAGUAGCCAUCAGUCCAAGUAUCAUCUCUGGGCCUAUUUGAAGCAAUUGCUGCUACGGUGACAACGCUACAAAUUGCUUUCUGCGUGUCAUUAUCCUUAACUUCGAGAUGUUCAACAAUCUUCUCUAUCAUGUUUGAGAUCUCAUAGGUGCAGUUACCACACUGGUUGAUGAAACUUGGCACAUCAAACCGUGAACAAUUCGUGAUGACGGAAUCAAAUUGCUGGCCAUAAUUACUCCUAAUGGAAGCGAGACUGAGGUUUGAGCAACUGCCAUUAUCUUGAUGUAACAAAUCAAAUUUACAUGAAUCUAUAGAGAGAUUAUAUUGCAUGUUAAAGCGAGAUGUGCAGUUAUCCCAUUGCUGUUUGUCGAGAAGGAUCGCUUGGGCUUGUGAGGCCGAACGAGCUAGAGCUUUUGAGAAGAAGUAUAGGACACUGCGACAGCAUUGGGUGGUUCUCACAUUGUCCCAAACCGUCACUUCAUGAUCAUUAGGGUGAACGCAUUCCCCGACCGGUUGAUAAGGGAAUGCAUCAAAGUCCAGAGUGCAAGCUGAUGUCAAGAAGAACAAGUCAGUAAAGAGAACUACAGAAGCACUUGAAUUAGGCAAACAAAAGUAGAUCAUCGCAAUAGAAGAUUAAAACUACACUGUACUGCCAAAGACCUGUUGAAUUUGUUGAGUUGAGGAAGAGGGAGAGGAUUGUGAGAAGCACUGCAACAACCUUCAUCCUUGUUUAGGAAGUUGUUUCUGGAGAUGGAAUUAAAAGAGGGAAUGACGUGCAUGCUUUGAUUUAGCUGUGUCAUCGAGGGGAUCGCUAAUCCUCAUUGUUUAAUGCACAAGAUCUGUUGAUUUCUUCCCUGAAGCUUUGAAGUAAACGACUUGAUUUGGAUGUGUUUGGACUGAUACAAGAAAGUUGAAAGAGACACAUUUGGCUUCAACCUGCUAAUACUAAAGUUCAAGGUGUGCAAACUUAUUUUUUAUUUGGUGCUUCUUCCAGACGAGCAGCACAGCCAGUCAAUGAUGUUAUGGGCUAAUGAUUUUUUUCCUGAUAAUUCUAGUAGUUUAAUGCAUUGCAGUAUGUCAUGC